GUCACGCUGAGUUUUGUGCACCGCCGUCACACUUCAUAGGAAAUAACGGCACAAAAAAAUGCGCCGGUGCUGAAGGGAAUACGAUAUUCCAACAUCGAGCAUCUCCAGCAUUAAGAAGCGUCAGGAAACAAUAAAGAAUGUUUAAGUGUCAAAAACAACCUCAUUAUUUGACAUGAGACUAAAAUAUCUGCAGCUCCACGGGACCAUGGACGCAUUAACAGGUUCUCCAAACAACGUCUUUAAAACUCAACACCACUCCCAGAACCCACUGACGUCCAGUUACAAGCUGCUCCCAUAUAUAAGGGUCGCCAGAGCAGAUCUGGUCCUCAUACCAGACUUGGAACUGUUUUAGGGCCGGAUGCCCUCCCUGACGGAACGCUCCUAUUUCUUUCCGGGCACUGAGGAUUGUUUCAGCCACCUAGUCAUGUUUGUGCUGAUGCCAAACCGGCUGAUAGCACAGUUCAGACUCGAACACUGGAUCCCCAGGACGCCUGAGCGCCACCCAAGUGCCGUAACUUUAUUAAUACAGUGUAAUUACUGUACCAUCAGAUUAAUCACUAAAAUUAAUCAUUAAAUAAACUAUGUAUCAU